GGCGAACGGGUGAGUAACACGUGGGUGAUCUGCCCUGCACUUCGGGAUAAGCCUGGGAAACUGGGUCUGAUACCGGAUAGGAGCCAUUUUUAGUGUGAUGGUUGGAAAGUUUUUCGGUGUAGGAUGAGCUCGCGGCCUAUCAGCUUGUUGGUGGGGUAAUGGCCUACCAAGGCGGCGACGGGUAGCCGGCCUGAGAGGGUGGACGGCCACAUUGGGACUGAGAUACGGCCCAG
rnacentral:rRNA from 1 species